GGUUCGAUUAUGGCUCCAGAUUGAACGCUGGCGGGAUGCUUUACACAUGCAAGUCGAACGGCAGCCUGGACACGGUCUGGUGGCGAGUGGCGAACAGGUGAGUAAUGUAUCGGAACGUGCCUAGUAGCGGGGGAUAACUACGCGAAAGCGGCCAGCUAAUACCGCAUACGCCCUUCGGGGAAGCGGGGGACCUUCGGGCCUCGCACUAUUAGAAGCGGCCGAUAUCGGAUUAGCUAGUUGGUGCAAGGGUAACGGCUCGCAAGGCGACGAUCCGUAGCUGGUUUUGAGAGGACGACCAGCCACACUGGGACUGAGACAGCCCCGAACUCCUGCAGGAGGCAGCAGUGGGGGAAUUUUGGACAAUGGGGGAAACCCUGAUCCAGCCAUCCCGCGUGUGCGAUGAAGGCCUUCGGGUUGUAAACACUUUUUUGGCAGGAAAGAAACGGCCUGGGAUAAUACCCCGUGCAACUGGCCAAACACCGCAGAAUAAGCACCGGCCCCAACUACGUGCCAGCAGCCGCGGUAAUACGUAGGGUGCAAGCGUUAAUCGGAAUUACUGGGCGUAAAGCGUGCGCGAGCGGUUCGGAAGAAAGAUGUGAAAUCCAGUGCACGGGCGCUUUUCACUUUGCGAAGAUAUAAGAUGUCAGGGAGGUGGAAUUCAGCGUGUAGCAGUGAAAUGCGUAGAUAUGCGGAGGAACACCGAUGGCGAAGGCAGCCUCCUGGGAUAACUUGCAGACGCUCAUGCACGAAAGCGUGGGAGCAAACAGGAUUAGAUACCCUGGUAGUCCACGCCCUAACGAUGUCAACUAGCUGUUGGGGCCUUCGGGCCUUGGUAGCGCAGCUAACGCGGAUGACCGCCUGGGGAAGUACGGUCGCAAGAAUUAAAACUCAAGGAAUUGACGGGGACCCGCACAAGCGGUGGAUGAUGUGGAUUAAUUCGAUGCAACGCGAAAAGCCUUACCUACCCUUGACAUGUCUGGAAUCCCGAAGAGAUUUGGGAGUGCUCGCAAGAGAACCGGAACACAGGUGCUGCAUAGCGGCUGUCGUCAGCUCGUGUCGUGAGAUGUUGGGUUAAGUCCGCAACGAAAGGCAUGGCCUUGUCAUUAGUUGCUACGAAGAGCCUCUAAUGAGACUGCCGGUGACAAACCGGAGGAAGGUGGGGAUGACGUCAAGUCCUCAUGGCCCUUGCCGGGUAAGGAAAGCUACACGUCAUGCAAUGGUCGGGACAGAGGGUCGAUGCCGUGGAGGUGGUCCGGGAUGAUCUCAUGCGGAAGUCAUUGCUGGGUGAUCUUGUGAGUCUGUGUUUCAAAAUGCGGGAGUCAUUUGAUCUUUUUCAUGUGUAUUCAUGUGAAUCUUUCAUCUUGUGUGACCAGAACCUUCAGCAGGUCUUACUUUGCCAAAAUCAUUUAUAUGGCGGGACGACUUUGCGAUGGGACCGCCUAACCGUAAGGAGGGCGAUUACCACGGUAGGAUUCGACGACUGGUUGAUGCAACGACAAAGGUAG
rnacentral:rRNA from 1 species